UUAGAAAUACAUAAAUUCAAAAACUAUGUCGUUUUGUUUAUAAUAGAGCCGUUGGAAAAGGAAUCGCGAAACGGUGUCGUUUUAGGUAAUAUUUUAAUAACUAGAUUUUUUGUUGGUUGGGAGAUCUGGGUCUUUACCUUUUAUGGUGUUCUUCUGAAAAGGGCUCUCCCUCACUGUCCUUCGAAGAAUCUUAUCUUCCACUUAUCAUUCAUCUAAAUCUAAAUUUAAGACAAGAUUGAUGAUGAGAUUGAUACGAUCCUGAAACCAUUCAUAAAAGGGUAUGUAUUUUGAAAUCUCAUUGCAAUUUCCUAAAUUUUGUUUAACAUUUAGACUGAGUUAAAUGAAAUUGGUGUCAAGAUUCUGCAACCCGUGUUUCUCAAUUUGGGGUUGAGAGAACUUUUUCAUGCUUGCUUAUUUGAUGAUAAGUAUAGUAAUUUAGUUGUAUACAUCUCUCUUAAACAUCAUAAUUCUACUUUUUGAAAUUAUUGCUUUCGCUGUGUUGAUUAUGAUGUUUGCAGAUUGAGAUAAUUUUGCCUUAUUAAUCCUCCUUGUAUUUAUUAGUGUAAUGAAUAAACUUGUAUUUUGAUAUGCUAAUUGUGUUAUUAAGAACCAUUGAACAAAGAUCAUGUUAUCUGCAUAUUGAGAUUAUCAUUCUGGCCCUUCCUAUUGACGUUAACUCGUUCAUUGUUCUAUUGUAUCUCUUGUUUUAUUGAAAUAUGAAUGAGAAUUGUCUUUUUUUGGGAAUUGGUGCCGAUGGGAUUCUUGCUGAUAACUUUGUUGAUGAUUUUGGUUCGGCGUGUCUGUAACAAUGGCGAGGUCCAUGGGAAUUUGGAAUGAUGACAAUCCGCAUGGAUGGUUCUCAAGCAUUAAUGGAUAGUUUGUUUCUUUGAUGUGGAGUUGAGGAAUCUCAGUCGGGUUGACGAAUAUGGGUCCAGUGAUGCAUUCGGGUAACUCUGUUUCACUAUUUCAUGCAUGAUUAAUUGUUUUCCUAUAUACAUGAUUCUAUAGUGCGAUGAAUUGGAGCAUAAUAAAUUAGGGCUUUUGCUAUUUCAAAUAUGCUUGUUUAUUUAUGUAUAUUGUGAAGGCAUAAUUAUACUCGAAAUCCCUAUAGAUGCCACCUUGUGAUUUACGUGAGAUGUUUGGAAUCACAAUAUAUUUAAUUGUGGGGAGCAGCACUUGCACUUCUUAUUGUCAAUUAUUGAUUUUCAAUUGGCUUGAUUUAUGUCAAGUUUGGUUGGAAUUAAUAGAAUUGACUGCAUAUCAUGUAUUCUUUAUACGGUGCAAAUCUAUGAUAUUAAUUUUCGUCAAAUAUGAAAGCUUGUGGGUGCUAUGGAGCAACACAUACAGAUGAAUAUAUAAGGUAGAUGUUUUAUUGACCGCCUACAAUGACUCUUGCGACAUUAAACUUUUAGCCAUUUACAAAAUGUAUAUUCUAUUAUGAGUUGGAAAGUAAAUAAUUAUUUUGUCAUCUUAUUGGAAAUUCAUAAGAUUAAAGAUAAGCGGAUGUCAUUAUUUUCUCCAAUGACUUGCUUACGAAUCUAUAUAUAAUUGAUGAUGGUGUUGAUAAUGAAUUAAAGAUAUGAAGUUUUUUAAUUUGGAUUAUUGUCAACUUAUGUUAUCAUGUAUAAAUCUUAGGAUUAAUAGACUUGUUAUUGUCUAUGGUCUGUUUAUUCUAUUGUGAAAAUCAUGGAGUUUAAGAUGCAUGCUUAUUGUAUAUGUAUAUUUGUAACUUCAUUUAUGAUGCAUGUUUCCGCUAUUAUGUAUUGAUUGAAAUCACAAAUAGGGAGGAAGCUGAACUUUGAGCUCUCCAUAAGAAAUAGUGGUCUUGGUUAUCUUGUUUUAAUCAAAACAUAUUGUUGUGAUAUAUAUCCAGACAUUAUCAAGAUUUGGUUGAUCUUGCUCGAUGGAUAUUGAACUAUUGAACUAGUUAGGAUCAAAUUGAAUGCAAAAAUAUUGUGCUUGCUAUUCUGAUUUUGAUCGUUGUUGAAACUAGUGAUUUUGGGUUUAUGUGAGAUAAGUUUUUCCGAAUGGAUUGUGACUAUCUUUUCAUACAUAGACUGUUUGCAUAAUGGUUUAGGUGUAUAUGACUAAACUGAGAUUAUGCAAUUGGUGAGGAAUCGGGAACCAAUUGAUUCAUAUCUCCGGUUUCUUUAUCGGUUGUGCAAUACAUUCUGCUUAUGCUUAAGUGGGAGAAUCAUAUGUUCGAAUGUAAGCAUAAGGCUAAGAGUAUUUAGGCCGGCCAUUAUAAUUCAUUUGGAUGCUUAAAAACCAGUUUAUGGCUUUAUUGAAGCAAUUGAUUGAAUUAUUUGUGUUACUUAAUUUGUUUAAGUAAUGAGAAGGAUCCUAUUAUGUUAGCAUUCAAAAGGAAACGAAUUUGGUUUCCAUAUGGAUUCUGAUUAGUUAUUCAUUGUAUUAGAAUGAUUUUUAGUUAAUAUAGUUGCUAUUAACUUGUACUUAACUUGGUUGUGUUAAGUACGGCCUAGAUAAGUGGGAGCAAAUUGGUUUGGUUUUGCUAUAUUGGUUCACAUAAUUACAAAGUGCAAAUUAAGUAUGUUGUGACUUUUGAGUUAAUUCUGCGAUGUAACAGAAAAGAUUCUUAAGUUCAAUACUUUAAAAUGCAUAGGUAAGUUGUAUGUGAGGUUAAGCUUUUGUUAUCCAAAAGAUUUGGUGAUCGCUUCUAUGAAUAUGAUAAUGAUGUUGAUUGGAUCAUAACUGUGAUAUUUAUACAAUUAUGAAUAAUUUUAAGCUGACAGCUUACUGUCAAGAAUAUUUGGUAUUUUUUAUAUCAAUUUUGGGCUAUAUGAGUGGGAGUAGAUGUCUUGGUUUACUCUUAAGCUUAGAUACAUUGCUAUGAACAUGAACUGGACAUUGUGAUUUGUAAGUUAAAUUUGCAUUCUGUGUUGCAGAGGCAAUUAUAAAUUCAUUGUUUUGGUUUAUGUAAGUUGGUUGUGUCUAUGUACUAGUGUGAUGGUAAAUGACUUAUUUGAUCACUUUUAUAAUAAUUUGAGAUGAUUAUUUGUUGUGAUGAAUCAUAGUCAAGUGGGAGAAUGUAAGAGUAUGAGUAUGAUUCUUACAAGUCUUGGGAUAAAUCUUUAUGGUAUAAAAAAUCUUUAUGGUUUGUAUAACUUUGAAUUCUAGUCCAAUUCUAAUAGGGAAUGGAUAGAGGAGUACUAUAUAUAUGGUUCAAACCACUGCUCUUGCGAUACCAUCUUGUGUUGUUCGAAGACCUAUUGAUUAGAGAAGCUAUUGUCAUUGUAAAAGAGGAGAAGGUUUCGAACACUGAGGCUGCAAUAGCUUCUUCAUCAGGAUUGAACAAUGUAGGUGAAUGAAGACACUGCAAAACCCACCCCAAAGAAAAAGGGACGAAAGCCAUCAAUUCGACUUGUUACUGUAAAUGUUGGCAAAAAAGCAGCAGAGGAUGCAAUGCAAGAAGAAGGUUGACUGACAUAGAGAAAAUUUUAGUUGCAACAAGAUGAAUUUUUCGUUAUGAAAGAGAAGCGCUGCAAUGAGACGCUGAUGGAGAAAGAGAGCCAUUGUAGUGUGACAUUGGUUGAGAAAGAGAAUUACUGUGUUUUAGUUGAUAAACAAUUUCCCAAACCAUGUUAAGAUUCGGAGACGCAUAUAAUUGAUAGAAAGUCGAAUUAUACUAUACAAAACGGGGCUGUAUUUGAUUUGGAUGAAAUG